ensembl:snoRNA SNORD18 Small nucleolar RNA SNORD18
CUGGAAUGAUGAGAUUCCACUUCAUUGGUCCGUGUUUCUGAAACACAUGAUUUUGUGGAAGUUCUGACUUG